rnacentral:sRNA from 1 species
CGGUGUUGGCGUGUUCUCAGCACAUCAACACCGCUAACCAUAAGCAACUACCAAGGAGUUGAAUGAUGGCUAA